AACUAAGAGCCUGAGCCAAAGCCCACUGAAGUCAAUAGGAGCUUUUCCAUUGACUUUAGUGGGCUUUGGAUCAGGUCUUAAGACUU
rnacentral:pre_miRNA from 1 species